rnacentral:rRNA from 1 species
UACGGGGGGGGGCAAGCGUUGUUCGGAAUUACUGGGCGUAAAGGGCGCGUAGGCGGCCUUCUAAGUCGAACGUGAAAUCCCCGGGCUCAACCCGGGAACUGCGUCCGAGACUGGAAGGCUUGAUCCGGGAGAGGGAUGUGGAAUUCCAGGUGUAGCGGUGAAAUGCGUAGAUAUCUGGAGGAACAUCGGUGGCGAAGGCGGCAUCCUGGACCGGUAUUGACGCUGAGGCG